UUGGAGGGCAAGUCUGGUGCCAGCAGCCGCGGUAAUUCCAGCUCCAAUAGCGUAUAUUAAAGUUGUUGCAGUUAAAAAGCUCGUAGUUGAAUUUCGGGAUCAGUACGCCGGUCGUGCCUUCGGUAUGCACUGGUGUCACUGGUUUCUCCCUUCUGAAGAACCAUCAUGCCAUUAAGUUGGUGUGGCGGGAAAUCAGGACUGUUACUUUGAAAAAAUUAGAGUGUUUAAAGCAGGCUCGCGCUUGAAUACAUUAGCAUGGAAUAAUGAAAUAGGACGUUUGACCCUAUUUUGUUGGUUUCUAGGAUCGACGUAAUGAUUAAUAGGGAUAGUUGGGGGCAUUAGUAUUCAAUUGUCAGAGGUGAAAUUCUUGGAUUUAUUGAAGACUAACUACUGCGAAAGCAUUUGCCAAGGAUGUUUUCAUUAAUCAAGAACGAAAGUUAGGGGAUCGAAGACGAUCAGAUACCGUCGUAGUCUUAACCAUAAACUAUGCCGACUAGGGAUCGGAUGAUGUUAAUUUUUUAAUGACUCAUUCGGCGCCUUACGGGAAAC
rnacentral:rRNA from 1 species